UACGAAGGGUGCAAGCGUUACUCGGAAUUACUGGGCGUAAAGAGCGCGCAGGCGGCUGGUCAAGUCCGAUGUGAAAGCUCCCGGCUUAACUGGGAAAUUGCAUCGGAAACUGAUCGGCUGGAAGGUGGGAGAGGGUAGCGGAAUUCCCGGUGUAGUGGUGAAAUGCGUAGAUAUCGGGAGGAACACCAGUGGCGAAAGCGGCUACCUGGCCCAUUCUUGACGCUGAGGCGCGAAAGCUAGGGGAGCAAACGGG
rnacentral:rRNA from 1 species